CCUGCCCCUAAGGCAUUGCAGAUGUGGCUGCUGUGUCACGUGUGCAUCAGUAGGUGGCAGAGGAGACAAGCUAGGUAAACGCUUGGUGUUCUGACCUGUGGACAUUUGAAUGAUUAGAAGCCUAAACU